rnacentral:rRNA from 1 species
UUAAGUGAAUAAGGGCGCACGGUGGAUGCCUUGGCACUAGGAGCCGAUGAAGGACGGGACUAACACCGAUAUGCUUUGGGGAGCUGUACGUAAGCUAUGAUCCAGAGAUUUCCGAAUGGGGGAACCCAACAUCUUUAAUAGGAUGUUACGAUUGUGUGAAUACAUAGCACAUUCGAGGUAGACGCAGAGAACUGAAACAUCUAAGUACCUGCAGGAAGAGAAAGAAAAUUCGAUUCCCUGAGUAGCGGCGAGCGAAACGGGAAAAGCCCAAACCAGCAAGCUUGCUUGUUGGGGUUGUAGGACUCCAAUAUGGUAGUUCUUUCAGAUAGUCGAAUGACUUGGAAAAGUCAGUCAAAGAGGGUAAAAACCCCGUAGACGAAAUGUGGAAGACACCUAGGAGGAUCCUGAGUACGGCGGAACACGAGAAAUUCCGUCGGAAUCCGGGAGGACCAUCUCCCAAGGCUAAAUACUCCCUAGUGACCGAUAGUGAACCAGUACCGUGAGGGAAAGGUGAAAAGCACCCCGGAAGGGGAGUGAAAUAGAACCUGAAACCGUGUGCCUACAACAAGUCAAAGCCCGUUAAUGGGUGAUGGCGUGCCUUUUGUAGAAUGAACCGGCGAGUUACGAUUGCAUGCGAGGUUAAGUUGAAGAGACGGAGCCGCAGCGAAAGCGAGUCUGAAUAGGGCGUUUGAGUAUGUAGUCGUAGACCCGAAACCAUGUGAUCUACCCAUGUCCAGGUUGAAGGUGCGGUAAAACGCACUGGAGGACCGAACCCACGUACGUUGAAAAGUGCGGGGAUGAGGUGUGGGUAGCGGAGAAAUUCCAAACGAACUUGGAGAUAGCUGGUUCUCUCCGAAAUAGCUUUAGGGCUAGCCUCGGAAUUGAGAAUGAUGGAGGUAGAGCACUGUUUGGACUAGGGGCCCAUCUCGGGUUACCGAAUUCAGAUAAACUCCGAAUGCCAUUCAUUCAUAUCCGGGAGUCAGACUGUGAGUGAUAAGAUCCAUAGUCGAAAGGGAAACAGCCCAGACCACCAGCUAAGGUCCCAAAAUAUAUGUUAAGUGGAAAAGGAUGUGGGGUUGCACAGACAACUAGGAUGUUGGCUUAGAAGCAGCCAUCAUUUAAAGAGUGCGUAAUAGCUCACUAGUCGAGUGACCCUGCGCCGAAAAUGUAUCGGGGCUAAACAUAUUACCGAAGCUGUGGAGUACACCUUUAGGUGUAUUGGUAGGAGAGCGUUCUAAGGGCGUUGAAGGCAGAUCGUGAGGACUGCUGGAGCGCUUAGAAGUGAGAAUGCCGGUAUGAGUAGCGAAAGACAGGUGAGAAUCCUGUCCACCGAAUGACUAAGGUUUCCUGGGGAAGGCUCGUCCGCCCAGGGUUAGUCGGGACCUAAGCCGAGGCCGACAGGCGUAGGCGAUGGAUAACAGGUUGAUAUUCCUGUACCCGUUGUUUUUGUUUGAGCAAUGGAGGGACGCAGGAGGCUAAGGAAUGCAGACGAUCGGAAAUGUCUGUCCAAGCAGUAAGUCUGAAGAGGAGUCAAAUGCUUCUUUUCUUAAGGACAAGCUGUGAUGGGGAGGGAAAUAAUAGUACCGAAGUUCCUGAUGUCACACUGCCGAGAAAAGCUUCUAGUGAGAAAACAGCGGCCCGUACCGCAAACCGACACAGGUAGUCGAGGAGAGAAUCCUAAGGUGAGCGAGAGAACUCUCGUUAAGGAACUCGGCAAAAUGACCCCGUAACUUCGGGAGAAGGGGUGCUGAUCAUACGAUCAGCCGCAGUGAAUAGGCCCAAGCGACUGUUUAUCAAAAACACAGGUCUCUGCAAAAUCGUAAGAUGAAGUAUAGGGGCUGACGCCUGCCCGGUGCUGGAAGGUUAAGAGGAGUGCUUAGCGCAAGCGAAGGUACGAAUUGAAGCCCCAGUAAACGGCGGCCGUAACUAUAACGGUCCUAAGGUAGCGAAAUUCCUUGUCGGGUAAGUUCCGACCCGCACGAAAGGCGUAACGAUUUGGGCACUGUCUCAACGAGAGACUCGGUGAAAUUUUAGUACCUGUGAAGAUGCAGGUUACCCGCGACAGGACGGAAAGACCCCAUGGAGCUUUACUGUAGUUUGAUAUUGAGUGUCUGUACCGUAUGUACAGGAUAGGUAGGAGCCGUAGAAAUCGGAACGCUAGUUUCGAUGGAGGCGCUGGUGGGAUACUACCCCUGCGUUAUGGCCACUCUAACCCGCACCACUAAUCGUGGUGGGAGACAGUGUCAGAUGGGCAGUUUGACUGGGGCGGUCGCCUCCUAAAAGGUAACGGAGGCGCCCAAAGGUUCCCUCAGAAUGGUUGGAAAUCAUUCGAAGAGUGUAAAGGCAGAAGGGAGCUUGACUGCGAGACCAACAAGUCGAGCAGGGACGAAAGUCGGGCUUAGUGAUCCGGUGGUUCCGCAUGGAAGGGCCAUCGCUCAACGGAUAAAAGCUACCCUGGGGAUAACAGGCUUAUCUCCCCCAAGAGUCCACAUCGACGGGGAGGUUUGGCACCUCGAUGUCGGCUCGUCGCAUCCUGGGGCUGUAGUCGGUCCCAAGGGUUGGGCUGUUCGCCCAUUAAAGCGGCACGCGAGCUGGGUUCAGAACGUCGUGAGACAGUUCGGUCCCUAUCCGUCGCGGGCGUUGGAAAUUUGAGAGGAGCUGUCCUUAGUACGAGAGGACCGGGAUGGACUUACCGCUGGUGUACCAGUUGUUCUGCCAAGGGCAUUGCUGGGUAGCUAUGUAGGGAAGGGAUAAACGCUGAAAGCAUCUAAGUGUGAAGCCCACCUCAAGAUGAGAUUUCCCAUUUCUUUAAGAAAGUAAGAUCCCUGAGAGAUGAUCAGGUAGAUAGGUCAGGAGUGGAAGUACAGUGAUGUAUGGAGCGGACUGAUACUAAUCGAUCGAGGACUUAACCAA